GGAUACCCCGUUGAAAGACGGCCUAAUACCCGAUGUUGUCCACAUAUGGCAUCUGACGUGGACCAAAGAUUCAUCGGUGGAGGAUGGGGAUGCGUCUGAUUAGCUUGUUGGUGCGGGUAACGGCCCACCAAGGCGACGAUCAGUAGGGGUUCUGAGAGGAAGGUCCCCCACAUUGGAACUGAGACACGGUCCAAACUCCUACGGGAGGCAGCAGUGAGGAAUAUUGGUCAAUGGACGUAAGUCUGAACCAGCCAAGUAGCGUGCAGGAUUGACGGCCCUAUGGGUUGUAAACUGCUUUUGUUGGGGAGUAAAGUGAGGCACGUGUGCCUUUUUGCAUUUACCCUUCGAAUAAGGACCGGCUAAUUCCGUGCCAGCAGCCGCGGUAAUACGGAAGGUCCAGGCGUUAUCCGGAUUUAUUGGGUUUAAAGGGAGUGUAGGCGGUCUGUUAAGCGUGUUGUGAAAUUUAGGUGCUCAACAUCUACCUUGCAGCGCGAACUGGCGGACUUGAGUGCACGCAACGUAUGCGGAAUUCAUGGUGUAGCGGUGAAAUGCUUAGAUAUCAUGACGAACUCCGAUUGCGAAGG
rnacentral:rRNA from 1 species